GCUUUUAUCUGUUUUGUUUCUUUUAAAAACAGGGACUUUUUUCGCCCUCUUUUCUUCUGGGAUUCGAGCGCGAGGAGAUCGGAUCGGAGCUAGGGAAGGCGUUGCAAUGAGGGGCACGAAGCGGCCGAUCCACGAGGUGGCGACGUGGGUGAAGCGGCAGCCGCCGAAGGUGAAAGCGUUCCUCUGUGUGGUGGCAGGCAUGGCCGCCCUCGUAUUCCUCCGCUUCAUCGUCCACGACCACGACAACCUGUUCGUCGCAGCUGAAGCCGUCCACGCCCUAGGGAUCUCCGUCCUGAUCUACAAGCUCACCAAAGGGAGGACUUGCGCCGGACUUUCACUGAAAUCUCAGGACUUAACAGCCUUAUUUUUAGCUGCUAGAUUAUAUUGCAGCUUAGUGAUGGAAUAUGAUAUACACACUGUGCUAGAUACUGCUACACUUGCUACUACUCUUUGGGUUAUUUACAUGAUUCGGAUUAGGUUGAGGACAAGUUACAUGGAGGAUAAGGAUAACUUUGCUAUAUCUUAUGUGAUUGUACCUUGUGCUUUGUUAGCCCUUGUAGUUCAUCCUUCGACUUCACACAAUAUUUUUAAUCGGAUUUGUUGGGCCUUUUGUGUUUACUUGGAAGCUGUUUCAGUGUUGCCCCAGUUACAACUGAUGCAGAACACAAAGAUUGUGGAACCAUUCACGGCUCAUUAUGUUUUCGCACUUGGGAUUGCAAGAUUCCUAAGCUGUGCUCAUUGGGUCCUUCAGGUUCUCGAUACCGGCGGAAGAUUGUUGACAGCUCUGGGGUAUGGCUUGUGGCCAUCAAUGGUGCUUCUUGCUGAAAUUGUUCAAACUUUCAUCCUUGCUGAUUUCUGUUAUUACUAUGUAAAAAGUCUUGUUGGUGGACAACUGGUGCUAAGGCUUCCUUCUGGUGUAGUCUGAUCACUUAACACAUAUAAGUUUGAGUUAUGACAUAGAAAUCCUUUUUCAUGUGUCUGUGUUGCUACUCCUAUAGGCCUUCAAGUUAAAAAGAAAGAAGAGAGAACCUCUUCUCUCUCUGUAUCUGGACUCGCCUCCUCCUCGCCAGUGACGUGGCGGCUCUGUACGCCAACAGCUGCUGCUGUCGCUGUUUCCACCACCGCACCGGAUCUUGCUGCUGCUGCUGCUGCUUCUCCACUGCGCACACGUUGAGAUCCGGAAGGCCGGUGACGGCGGCCACAGAUUGCUGCUCCCGGUGGCCGCCGCCGGUGGGCUGAACCCGCGCCUGCUGAAAACAUAAUUAUUUUCUAAUGAAGAAAUAUUGAGAAAAUAUAUAGAUGGAGUCGAUUUUGAAGCACACCUGGUGGGAUUGGUAGGAAAAUAUCGAUGAGGAGGUGUUGGAAAAGGAUUUGCGAUCCUCUCUCGCGAUUAACUGGAUCAUUUUCAUAGAAUAAUUAGUAUAUUUUACUUCUUUUUUUUCAAUUUUAAUAGAGAACACGAAAUGAUGGAGAAGGGGAAGAAGUAGGUAGAGGAGGUAGCUUACCUUCCAGCGCCGCUUGCCGUGCUCCGCCAUCGGCUCGGGGAGCAGAGCGCCCUCCUCGCCGCCGCUUGGGGGCGGCAAACUCACUUCUCGAUGCCGCUUCCUGUGCUCCACCUCCGGAUCCGGACGGACACUAACUUCAUCGCUGCCACUUUCCUGGAAGGAGAGCGGCGUGGUGGGACUACUCGAAGCGGCAGUGGCGGCUGCUGCUGCAUCUCCCUCCUUACUGUCUAGCGGCGGAGGCAGAGAAGGCGUCCGAAGAGGGCGGCGGCGACGAGAAGCGACCGAUCUGGGUUUCCCGCCUCUCCAUCUGAGGGAGCCGAUGUAAUCGCCAGGCGGCGGAAUCCGACGGCGCUCAAGGAUGAGAUCGGCGAGCUCGAGGAGCGUGAGCUCCACCUGAAGCUCCUCUGCCGAAGGAAACAUCAGAGACGGCAACGAAAUGGCGACGGCGGGCCGGCGGCGGAGAUUAGAAGAGGAGGAGGAGGAGGAGGAGGAGGAGAAAGGAUAAUAGGAAUGCGGAAGUGUGCUGUAUGCACCCAAUGGAGAAGAAAAUUACGAAGGCGAGGCCGGUCAUCAUUGAACCGACACGUGUAAAUAGGAAGAGAUACCUUUUCCAAAAAAAUAUUAAAGAGAAAAAUAAUAUUCUGGGAA